rnacentral:misc_RNA from 1 species
AUUUAGGACCCUUAACAGAGUAUCUCAGAAAUUGUUUACAGCUGCAAAGUGAUCAAUGUCUUGGCGAUCUGCCGACACCCAAUAGUAAUCUUCUAAUAAAUCUAACUACAAGUACAAAAAUAAGUGCCCAAUAAGUUGAAAAAAGGAAAAUAAGAAUAAAUAAUCUAGAUUUGUUCGUUUAAAUCCUUAAGACAGAAAAGAAAGAGAAUGGGGGAUGAAGAAGCCGCCUUGCCAUGCUUGAAUUCAAGAAUUAACACUCAAAUCUUAUAUCUAAAAGAGGAGGCUUAGAGACAGCACAAGCAUGCUUAAAAAUAAUUAUUAUAAACUCAACUGGCCAAGAUCCUAGCAUAACUGACUAAAACAGAGGAUAUGGCAUUCCACAGUUGCCCAGGAAAACACUGGCUGAGCACCUUAAACUCUUAAACAACAUCAGGAUCAUAUCCCCAACGCAACUAAGAAAACACAAAUCUGAAGUCAAAAAGGAAUAAAACAACUAUCCCAAGUCUUAGAGUUCCAAAUUACAACUCAAUAAUUACCCAAAGCUCACCAUACUAGAAGAAGGGGGAAA